rnacentral:rRNA from 1 species
UUUUGCAAGUCUGGUGCCAGCAGCCGCGGUAAUUCCAGCUCCAAUAGCGUAUAUUAAAGUUGUUGCAGUUAAAAAGCUCGUAGUUGAACUUUGGGCCCGGUUGGCCGGUCCGAUUUUUUCGUGUACUGGAUUUCCAACGGGGCCUUUCCUUCUGGCUAACCUUGAGUCCUUGUGGCUCUUGGCGAACCAGGACUUUUACUUUGAAAAAAUUAGAGUGUUCAAAGCAGGCGUAUUGCUCGAAUAUAUUAGCAUGGAAUAAUAGAAUAGGACGUUUGGUUCUAUUUUGUUGGUUUCUAGGACCAUCGUAAUGAUUAAUAGGGACGGUCGGGGGCAUCAGUAUUCAAUUGUCAGAGGUGAAAUUCUUGGAUUUAUUGAAGACUAACUACUGCGAAAGCAUUUGCCAAA